rnacentral:rRNA from 1 species
UACGAAGGGGCUAGCGUUGUUCGGAAUUACUGGGCGUAAAGCGCACGUAGGCGGCUUUGUAAGUUAGAGGUGAAAGCCUGGAGCUCAACUCCAGAAUUGCCUUUAAGACUGCAUCGCUUGAAUCAUGGAGAGGCGGGUGGAAUUCCGAGUGUAGAGGUGAAAUUCGUAGAUAUUCGGAAGAACACCAGUGGCGAAGGCGGCCCGCUGGACAUGUAUUGACGCUGAGGUGCGAAAGCGUGGGGAGCAAACAGG